rnacentral:rRNA from 1 species
GAGAACUGUCAUACCAUGCUGAAAACACCGGUUCUCAUCUGAUCUCCGAAGUUAAGCAGCAUCGGGUCUGGUUAGUACUUGGAUGGGUGACCGUCUGGAAAUCCCAAAUGCAGUUUUCU